GGGCGGUUAGCUCAGCUGGCAGAGCAUCGCGUUUACACCGCGAGUGUCGGCGGUUCGAUCCCGUCACCGCCCACCA
rnacentral:tRNA from 1 species